AAGCUUUUUUGGAAAUCCGUCGAGAAGAGAGUAGGAAGAACAUCAUGAUGGGAGAGUUUGGCCCAAAUGUCGUGGAAAUAGGUUCCGCACUUGCUGCUAGAAGAAAUCCUCUCUGGGCGAAUCCCAGAACAGUGCUCUUGCCUCCGAGCACACCUCUGCCUUUGUGGGUCGUGAUUUGGAAGUUGAGGAAGAAAGGGGAGACUGUGGUGUGAGUUUUACAAAGAACCGGUCAUACUUGUGAGAAGUGUUGGAAAUUACACGGCAAACCAGCUGAGAAAAAGCAUUCAAGGGAUAAAGGCAAUAUGGUAAUUUUUGAGGAAUUAUCCUCUACCCUCCCUUCAGUCUAACUCAUAUGGACGCUCUCUUGCAAAUUUCUUUUC
rnacentral:lncRNA from 1 species